UACGGGGGGGGCAAGCGUUGUUCGGAAUUACUGGGCGUAAAGGGCGCGUAGGCGGUUCGGUAAGUCAGCUGUGAAAACCAUGGGCUUAACUCAUGGCCUGCAGUUGAGACUGUCGGGCUGGAGUGUGGGAGAGGAGAGUGGAAUUCCUGGUGUAGCGGUGAAAUGCGUAGAUAUCAGGAGGAACAACAGAGGCGAAGGCGAUUCACUGGACUGUAACUGACGCUGAGAUGCGAAAGUGUGGGGAGCAAACAGG
rnacentral:rRNA from 1 species